ACCCUGCGCCGAUCCGCGUUGUGGGAGUGGGGUUUCUAGAGAAUCUCUCGAACAGACUGCCCAUUUUUUACUAUCUCUAUUUUUUAUUUUUUUUCUAUUUUUUGAUUUUUUACAUACUGCCCAUUCAGGUGUACCUUGAGUAAUGGGCUCGGCGUACCAAGAAUCGGUGCACGGGGCACUCGGCUGCGCGCGCGCGGGGAUGGAGAUGCGCUAUGGAAUUUCGCAGCCCAGUAGCAGCCAGCCAGGCCCCCCUGAAUGGGCCUAGGUCCCAGCAAGCCCCCAACUGAAACGCGAAAGAAAGGGAACCUGUUGCGGCGGCGACCGG
rnacentral:lncRNA from 1 species